CCUACGGGAGGCAGCAGUGGGGAAUUUUGGACAAUGGGCGCAAGCCUGAUCCAGCCAUUCCGCGUGAGUGAAGGAGGCCUUCGGGUUGUAAAGCUCUUUCGCAAGGGAAGAAACGAUUUAGGUGAAUAAUCUAAGUUAAUGACGGUACCUUGAUAAGAAGCACCGGCUAACUACGUGCCAGCAGCCGCGGUAAUACGUAGGGUGCGAGCGUUAAUCGGAAUUACUGGGCGUAAAGCGUGCGCAGGCUGUUUUGUAAGUCAGAUGUGAAAUCCCCGAGCUCAACUUGGGAACUGCGUUUGAAACUACAAGACUAGAAUAUGUCAGAGGGGGGUAGAAUUCCACGUGUAGCAGUGAAAUGCGUAGAGAUGUGGAGGAAUAUCAAUGGCGAAGGCAGCCCCCUGGGAUAAUAUUGACGCUCAUGCACGAAAGCGUGGGGAGCAAACAGGAUUAGAUACCCUGGUAGUCCACGCCCUAAACGAUGUCAACUAGUUGUUGGUAGAGUAAAAUCUAUGAGUAACGCAGCUAACGCGUGAAGUUGACCGCCUGGGGAGUACGAUCGCAAGAUUAAAACUCAAAGGAAUUGACGG
rnacentral:rRNA from 1 species